rnacentral:rRNA from 1 species
AUUGAACGCUGGCGGCAGGCCUAACACAUGCAAGUCGAGCGAGCGGCGGACGGGUGCGUAAUGUAUGGGGACUGCCCGAUAGAGGGGGCUUACUACAGGAAACGGUAGCUCAUACCGCAUACUAUCGGAUAACCCAUAUGGGUUUAGCUAGUAGGUGGGGUAAUGGCUCACCUAGGCGACGAUCCCUAGCUGGUCUGCGAGGAUGAUCAGCCACACUGGGACGGAGAAACGGCCCAGACUCCUACGGAGGCAGCAGUGGGGAAUAUGGGAAAAUGGGCGCAAGCCUGAUGCAGCCAUGCCGCGGGUAGGAAGAAGGCCCUAGGGUUGUAAAGUACUUUCAGUCGGGAGGCGUUACCGACAGAAGAAGCACCGGCUAACUCCGUGCCAGCAGCCGCGGUAAUAC